rnacentral:rRNA from 1 species
AUGGGGUGACUGCGUACCUUUUGUAUAAUGGGUCAGCGACUUAUAUUCUGUAGCAAGGUUAACCGUAUAGGGGAGCCGUAGGGAAACCGAGUCUUAACUGGGCGAAUGAGUUGCAGGGUAUAGACCCGAAACCCGGUGAUCUAUCCAUGGGCAGGUUGAAGGUUGGGUAACACUAACUGGAGGACCGAACCGACUAAUGUUGAAAAAUUAGCGGAUGACUUGUGGAUGGGGGUGAAAGGCCAAUCAAACCGGGAGAUAGCUGGUUCUCCCCGAAAGCUAUUUAGGUAGCGCCUCGUGAAUUCAUCUUCGGGGGUAGAGCACUGUUUCGACUAGGGGGUCAUCCCGACUUACCAACUCGAUGCAAACUGCGAAUACCGAAGAAUGUUAUCACGGGAGACACACGGCGGGUGCUAACGUCCGUCGUGAAGAGGGAAACAACCCAGACCGCCAGCUAAGGUCCCAAAGUCAUGGUUAAGUGGGAAACGAAGUGGGAAGGCUCAGACAGCCAGGAUGUUGGCUUAGAAGCAGCCAUCAUUUAAAGAAAGCGUAAUAGCUCACUGGUCGAGUCGGCCCGCGCGGAAGAUGUAACGGGGCUAAACCAUGCACCGAAGCUGCGGCAGCGACACGUAGUGUUGUUGGGUA